rnacentral:rRNA from 1 species
GACAGAGGAUGCAAGCGUUAUCCGGAAUGAUUGGGCGUAAAGCGUCUGCAGGUGGCUUUUCAAGUUCGCCGUCAAAUCCCAGGGCUCAACCCUGGACAGGCGGUGGAAACUACCAAGCUGGAGUACGGUAGGGGCAGAGGGAAUUUCCGGUGGAGCGGUGAAAUGCGUAGAGAUGUGGAGGAAUACCGAUGGCGAAGGCAGCCCCCUGGGCCAAUACUGACGCUCAUGCACGAAAGCGUGGGGAGCAAACAGG